GCCAGGCAUGGUGGAGUGUGCCUAUAGUCCCAGCUACUCAGGAAGCUGAGGUGGGAGGAUCGCUUGAGCCCAGGAGUUUUGGGCUGUAGCGCGCUAUGCCGAUCGGGUGUCCGCAUGAAGUUCGGCAUUAAUAUGGUGACCUCCCGGGAGCGGGGAACCACCAGGUUGCCUAAGGAGGGGUGAACCAGCCCAGGUCAGAAACAGAGCAGGUCAAAACUCCCGUGCGGAUCAGUAGUGGGAUCGCGCCUGUGAAUAGCCACUGCACUCCAGCCUGGGCAACAUAGCGAGA
rnacentral:SRP_RNA from 1 species